rnacentral:lncRNA from 1 species
CCAAAUGUGACGCACCAGUAUGCAAUUUCUGUCACUGCACUUUUGCGUUAUUAUCUCUCUAAAGCAAGGAUUUUACGCUUGAUAAUAAAACCUGGAGUGGAGAUGUUUUUUUGUUGUUAGAUACACAAUAUAUGUAUCUAUAGUUUGGGUUAAGGUCUGUUUUUGUCAUGUUGUCGUCAUCAUCUUCGACUAAGGUAUGCUUCAAUUCGAACUGCAAAGAGCCGUUGGAGAAAUGGAGAAGAGGUUGGCGUCUUCGCACUGGCGAGUACGCUGACCUUUGCGAUCGCUGCGCGUAAGCAAUUUACG